rnacentral:rRNA from 1 species
GAAUCACUGGGCUUAAAGCGUGUGUAGGCGGGUCGUUAAGUGCCUUGUGAAAUCCCACGGCUCACCCGUGGAACUGCUGGGCAUACUGCCGAUCUUGAGCCACUUAGGGGCAACCGGAACAAACGGUGGAGCGGUGAAAUGCGUAGAUAUCGUUUGGAACGCCAAUGGUGAAAACAGGUUGCUGGGAGUGCGCUGACGCUGAGACACGAAAGCCAGGGGAGCAAACGGGAUUAGAUACCCCGGUAGUCCUGGCCGUAAACGAUGUCCACUAGAUUCUGGCAGCUCUGACGCUGUCAGGGUCGAAGCAAAAGUGCUAAGUGGACCGCCUGGGAAGUACGGUCGCAAGGCUAAAACUCAAAGGAAUUGACGGGGGCUCACACAAGCGGUGGAGCAUGUGGUUCAAUUCGAAGCAACGCGCAGAACCUUACCUGGGCUUGACAUGCCAGGAUUAUCCCGAUGAAAGUCGGGUAGGCCCCGCAAGGGGUACAACUGGUACAGGUGCUGCAUGGCUGUCGUCAGCUCGUGUCGUGAGAUGUCGGGUUAAGUCCCUUAACGAGCGAAACCUUUGCCCUUAGUUACCAUCGGGUCAUGCCGGGGACUCUAAGGGGACUGCCGGUGUCAAACCGGAGGAAGGUGGAGAUGACGUCAAGUCCUCAUGGCCUUUAUGCCCAGGGCCACACACGUGCUACAAUGGCGUGCACAAAGCGAACCGAGAGCGCAAGCUGGAGGAAAUCGCAAAAAUCACGCCCCAGUUCAGAUAGGAGGCUGCAACUCGCCUCCUUGAAGUUGGAAUCGCUAGUAAUCGCGGAUCAGUAC